rnacentral:lncRNA from 1 species
CCCGUGGGUUCCUUUGGGUCGAAACAGGGGAUCUCACAAUCCCCUAUUGGCUGGCCGGUCGGCGGUGCAACUGGCGUGGGGCGGCCGUCGGCAAGAGGGGGGACGGCCCAACAACAAGAGGAGGGCCAAACCGGUGGUCAGCGAUGACCACCGACGUCGAAAAUCAAAGAAAAAUGAUAAAAAUAAAAGUUUUUUCCGCAACAAAAUCCGGC